AGGAUGAACGUUAGCGGCAGGCCUAAUACAUGCAAGUCGAACGGUCUUUAGCAAUAGAGAUAGUGGCGCACGGGUGCGUAACGCGUAGCCAACCUACCCGAAUCUGGGGGAUAGCCCGCCGAAAGGCGGAUUAAUACCGCAUAAGGCUACGGACCGGCAUCGGUUGGUAGUUAAAGAUUUAUUGGAUUCGGAUGGGGCUGCGUGCCAUUAGCUAGUUGGGGGGGUAACGCCCACCAAGGCGACGAUGGCUA
rnacentral:rRNA from 1 species